rfam:Schistosoma rodhaini strain Burundi genome assembly, scaffold: SROB_contig0005049
GCACUGCUGAGGAGUCCCAUAAUAGAGCGAAACGGCCGUCCAGUGC